rnacentral:lncRNA from 1 species
UAAGCUCCGUUUUUCCGUGAUUUUUUGGCCCCCCGAGGGCCCUAGGGUUGUUUUUUCACAGGGACCGAUGCGAGUGUGGCCGAAUUCGGCCGGAAACGGUCAAAAACAGCCAACCCGAGGCGACUCGCCGCCGCCAGCGGCGGCGCCGUCGCCGGAGCACGGCGGAGCCGCCGUGCCGGAGUUGCGAUUUGGGCCGAAAGGGGCCCUGGACCUAAUUUGGGAUUUUUUUUUGGAACACGUACAGGUACCAGUAGUGCGUUUCAGUUCCCCGAGGAAAAUUCAAGGAAAAUUAGGGACAACCUGCAAGCGCACUGUGAAACCGUGUUCGGACCCCGAAACGAGUAAGGACCCCUCACCCUAUUUCCUAUCACGGUAUUAAAGUUCAAAAUGAUAAAACGGUAUUUCUUGAAUUAACAAAUGUGUGAAAUUACUUAAGGUGGCUAAUGGAGCCCGAGUCUAGUGUGAUUAGUGAUUUACUGUUAUUUGGCCU